CCGACCCAGCUCUCUUUUGCAGCAGCCGCUGCCGCUGGCUGGCUGCUCGUCCCCUUCUCCCCUGGUUGCUGCUGCUCAUCCCUUGGUUGCUGCUACUGCAGGUCUGCCCCUCCCAUCUCUUGCUGCUGCGGCUCCCCCCUUAGUUGCCGCUGGUCUGCUCCCUACUACUUAACUCACGUCGACUCAUCGCAUGUUGACUCGUCGACCAUGAGUCACGACUAGUCACGACUAGUCUAGAGUCGCCCCCCCUGAGCGACUCGCCGACUCAUCGACUCAAAAACCUUGGGUCUCAGCAGCCGCCCUCACCUCCCUCUCUCUCCAACCAGCCCCGCUCUCCUCUCGCAUCACACAGGCGGCGGCUCAACAUAUGCUGCCGGGUGUGGCAUAUGUGGCAUCUGUGUUGUGCUUCGGCCGGCUGGUUGUGUGUGAUGUGUGCGGCUGGAUGUGCGUCCGUGUUUAUGUGUGUGGAGGAAGUCGAUGGUUGCAGGCAGAGGAAGCUGCUGGUUGCUGGCAGAGGAGGAUUAUGAUAGUUCCCUUGCUCUUUGCCAGAAAAAUUGAUAUUUCUCUUGAUUUGUUCUAGUCUGGAUUAGUACAAAAGUGCACUGAUAUUUGCUUUGUGGUGCAGGAGUUUCAAGACAGCAGGUUUAGCAGGGAUCAAUUGCAACCUUCGUUUAUCUUCUGUUAUGUGAACCAAUUUGUGAUGGCUUCUAAAAGCACAUGGCUGGUACAGAGCAAUUUUUACAUCAGAGCCGUCGUUUCUGUCGACUUCGCCGCCGUCGACUUCGCCGCAAGACAAUCUGCCAUCGCCUCCGCCGACUUUGCCGUAAGAUCAUCAGCCGUCGCCUGAACGUACUUUGGCGCAGGAACCUGAAGGAAAGCGGCAACAAAAGCAAGAUCCAAAGGCGCAGUCGUGCAAGGUCGAACCAUCCAUAAAGAUCCUCUUCCUACAGCUAUGACAACUGUGGCAAGACCUUUGUUAAUGUGGCUGCCUUGAGGAAGCAUGCUCAUGUACAUGGCGAGAGAUGCAAUAUGUUUUUUCAGGAGCCUGGCUAUUUGAAGCUUGACGAUGCCGUGGUCGCCCCACCUAUCAAAUCCCCGCACACACGCAACAACUCAACUCUAUGGUUUGUACACCACCACCGCUUGAGCAGCCCGGCGAACGAUUUAGGUAAUGUAUCUGUAUAAUAUAAUCCUCCAUUACCAUGCACAAAGACUUCAAUUUAAUUUUAGAUCAGUUUAGUUCAGCGUGGUGAUGCUCAGCAUAAUAAGGUGUUGUGUUGUUAUAUUGAAAUAAAUGAUUCAGCAGAGGUGAAUGGUCUCUCUGACUGAUGUUGCCAGUUGCAUCACAUACUUGCUAGCUUCCCAAAUGCAGUAAGCAAUGAGUAAUUUCCAAAUGUAGCAGUGAAGACACUCAUUUUCAGAGCAGCUAUACUCACAUGUGCCCUGAACCAUUUAAUUGCUUUAAUUCCUGAACAAAUGUAGGUUGGUUCUCUUGCUUUUUACCAUGGUAACUUUGUAAACAUCAGAAGGCCUAAAUUUGCAGCACACUCACUCGCUCAACAAUGAGCACUGGAGUCUAAAGCUUUGCUAUUGGCUGAAGAACAUCAAGGUCUUCAUUACAUGAUUAUUAGUUUCUUAAAUAUUUGUAUAACGUCAGAGUACUUUUUAGUUACAGAUUUGGCAAUACCCAGGACAUUAUUCUCCAGUCCAACUAUUGGCUUUCAAGGUGGCAGUGUGAGACAUUGUCGCUAUCACAGGAUCAUGUGGCAACGUAUUUGGUUUUUUGUUGAAAUAUGAUGGAGAUGGCUCUUUUGUAGUUAGAUGUGACUGCCACUCUCAUACCAAAUACUUUGAUGAUGAUACCUACU